UACGGAGGGUGCAAGCGUUAAUCGGAAUUACUGGGCGUAAAGCGCACGCAGGUGGCUGAGUCAGUCGAUUGUGAAAGCCCUGGGCUUAACCUGGGAAUUGCAGUCGAUACUACUUAGCUAGAGUAUGGGAGAGGGCAGUGGAAUUCCCGGUGUAGCGGUGAAAUGCGUAGAUAUCUGGAGGAACACCGGUGGCGAAGGCGGCAUCCUGGACCGACACUGACGCUGAGGAGCGAAAGCCAGGGGAGCAAACGGGG
rnacentral:rRNA from 1 species